AAUGGAGGCAACUCUGAUCCAGCCAUGCCGCGUGCAGGAAGACUGCCUAUGGGUUGUAAACUGCUUUUAUAUAGGAAGAACCUACUUACGUGUAAGUAGCUGACGGUACUAUAAGAAUAAGGAUCGGCUAACUCCGUGCCAGCAGCCGCGGUAAUACGGAGGAUCCAAGCGUUAUCCGGAAUCAUUGGGUUUAAAGGGUCCGUAGGUGGAUAAUUAAGUCAGAGGUGAAAUCUUGCAGCUCAACUGUAAAAUUGCCUUUGAUACUGGUUAUCUUGAGUUAUUAUGAAGUAGUUAGAAUAUGUAGUGUAGCGGUGAAAUGCAUAGAUAUUACAUAGAAUACCAAUUGCGAAGGCAGAUUACUAAUAAUCAACUGACACUGAUGGACGAAAGCGUGGGUAGCGAACAGGAUU
rnacentral:rRNA from 1 species